rnacentral:rRNA from 1 species
CUGCAUGAAGCUGGAAUCGCUAGUAAUCGCGGAUCAGAAUGCCGCGGUGAAUACGUUCCCGGGUCUUGUACACACCGCCCGUCACACCAUGGGAGCCGGAAACGCCCGAAGCCAGCGGCCCAACCGCAAGGGGGGAGCUGUCGAAGGCGGGUCCGGUGACCGGGGUGAAGUCGUAACAAGGUAAC